rnacentral:rRNA from 1 species
AGGACUGCUGCUGGAUCAUUACUCACUGUGAU